GGCCUUGUAGUCUAAUGGUAGAACAUGUCCUUGACGUGGACAAAGCCCCAGUUCGAUCCUGGGCAGGGCCA
rfam:Candidatus Pacearchaeota archaeon RBG_16_35_8 RBG_16_scaffold_45650, whole genome shotgun sequence.